ACUCAAAGGAAUUGACGGGGGCCCGCACAAGCGGUGGAGCAUGUUGUUUAAUACGUCACUAACCGUAGAACCUUACCAGGGCUUGACAUCCUCUGCACCGGGGUGAAAGCCUCGUCCUGAGCAAUCAGGCGGAGAGACAGGUGUUGCAUGGCUGUCGUCAGCUCGUGUCGUGAGAUGUUGGGUUAAGUCCCGCAACGAGCGCAACCCUCAUCCCAUGUUGCCAUCGGGUAAAGCCGGGAACUCUUGGGAAACUGCCGGGGUAACUCGGAGGAAGGUGGGGAUGACGUCAAGUCAGCAUGGCCCUUACGCCCUGGGCUACAAACAUGCUACAAUGGACGGUAGACAAAGGGAGCCGAUGCCGUGAGGUGGAGGCAAUCUCAAAAAUCCGUUCUCAGUUCGGAUCGCAGGCUGCAACUCGCCUGCGUGAAGUCGGAAUCGCUAGUAACCGCCGGUCAGCCAAACGGCGGUGAAUACGUUCCCGGGCCUUGUACACACCGCCCGU
rnacentral:rRNA from 1 species